GAUUUCCAUUAAAGGUCGUUAUCAAAUACCUGUUGAGAAUGGGUCUAUUACUGAGAAGUGAUGAUUAAUUGAUGAAAACGUUGAAAACGACAAAAAGGAGUUCUCGGAGAUCGAAUCGAUCUUACAGUCAUUACCAACUUUCCGCUAGAUUUAGUUUCAAAAAUAUAAAACAACUUUCCAUUAUAUAUAUUCCCCUUCUGCUAUUUUUUUG
rnacentral:lncRNA from 1 species